rnacentral:rRNA from 1 species
UACGUAGGGUGCGAGCGUUGUCCGGAAUUAUUGGGCGUAAAGCGCGCGCAGGCGGCUCUUCAAGUCAGGGGUGAAAGCCCAGAGCUCAACUCUGGAACUGCCUUUGAGACUGAAGAGCUUGAGUACGGGAGAGGUGAGUGGAAUUCCGAGUGUAGAGGUGAAAUUCGUAGAUAUUCGGAAGAACACCAGUGGCGAAGGCGACUCACUGGACACGUAUUGACGCUGAGGUGCGAAAGCGUGGGGAGCAAACAGG